ACUAUAAUCGUGCACGCAUUCGUCGGUCGUGGAACCACAAUAAAGGCAAAGCUGUCAGUUUCUUCCUUCAUUAUUCUCGAAUCCGAUCUGAAAAAGGGAUGCCGAUUCCAGGGCAUAUGCCUCCCUCCCAGUCCCUGGCCAUUACGCUCGCCCUUCCGCACCAUCUCACCUCGCCAUCACGCCACCGCCGCGCUCAUCCUCUCUCGCCCUAAUGGGAUCGCUGCGCACGCGGGUGGAAUCUUGGAUCAAAGAGCAGACCGUGAGGGUGGGGAUUUCGUGGCCGCCCCCCAUGCCGCAACAGUGGCGGUGGCCGCCGUGGAAGGGCCAGCGUGACCGGAAGGAUCAGGAGAAGGCCCUCCGAGAAGCACUCGAGCGGCAGCGGCGGCAGCUCAACGACCUCUGUCGCGCUGUCAAGGCAGAAUCGAUCGGCGAUCUUCAAGAAAUCCUAUGUUCCAUGGUCCUCUCAGAGUGCGUAUACAAGAGUCCUGCUUCUGAUAUGCUUUGGUACAUAAACAAAUUUAAGUCUGAUUUUGGAGGACAGGUUGUAUCUCUCGAGCGAGUUCAAUCCUCUUUGGACCAUGUGCCCCAUAGAUACCUAUUAGCUGAGGCAGGGGAUACCAUUUAUGCUUCAUUCAUCGGGACAAAACAAUACAAAGAUGUCAUAGCUGAUGCAAAUAUACUUCAGGGAGCCAUAUUCAACGAGGAUAAUGUGGUGGAUGAUUUGAGUGAUAUUGAAUCUGAACAAGCUGACAGGGAAAAGAAGAUUGAUGUAAACCUUGGAAAGCCAAUUCAAGAAAAAUGGAAGCCACUGAGAGAACGUCCAAAGCCUGCUGCACAUAGGGGGUUCUUGGGGCGUGCUAAAGGGAUUCCAGCAUUGGAGUUGUAUAAACUUGCUCAGAAAAAAAAUUGUAAGCUCGUCCUUUGCGGGCAUUCACUUGGUGGAGCUGUAGCUGUACUGUCUACACUUGCAAUUUUGAGAAUUCUCGCAACAUCUUCGCUAGCUAAAGAGCACGAGAAGGUUCCUGUGAAAUGUAUCACUUUCUCUCAACCACCUGUUGGUAAUGCUGCUUUGAGAGAUUAUGUUCAUCAGAAAGGAUGGCAAGGCUAUUUCAAAACAUACUGCAUUCCUGAAGAUUUGGUUCCACGGAUCUUGUCUCCUGCAUAUUUUCAUCAUUAUAACACACAAGUUCAGCAACCAUCUUUACAUGAAGGUUCUGAUGGUUCAAACUUUGAAGAAGAGGCAAGUAGGUCAACCUUUCAAAGGGGCAAAAUAAAUGAUGGGGAUGAAUUAGUCCUUGGAGUUGGCCCUGUUCAGACUUCAAUAUGGAGACUCAAAAAUCUUGUUCCCUUAGAGGCUGUUCAUAAACAUUUAAAUGUAUUCAAGAAAGUAGGAAAUGAGAAUGAAUCUGUGUCAUCACUUGAAAAUUGUAGCUCCCCGCCUGCAUUUGGCAUAACUAAUCUGGAACCUGAGUCUUUGGAAAUCCAGGAGGAUUCUGAUGGGAUUUCUUUGACUCCUCUUGAUCCGGAUAGGACUGUUGCAAAUGAAAGCCAUGUAACUAGGAAGACCAGCACCAGAAUCGGGGAGUCAAGGCGGUGGCAUAGAGUUCCUUCUUUGCCUUCUUAUGUACCUUUUGGACAGCUCUACUUGUUAAGAAGUUCAUCAGUCGAGUCACUUUCUGAUGCAGAAUACUCAAAAUUGACAUCGGUUAGGUCUGUCAUAGCAGAAUUGAGGGAGCGCUUACAAUCACAUUCUAUGAAGUCAUAUAGGUCUCGUUUCCAGAAGUUAUAUGACAUGUGUAUGUGUGUAGAUGCUCCUCCCUUUCUAGGGAUGGAGCAGUUACCACAUUUUCCGCAUCCACACCAAUUGCUUGGCUUGGCAGCUCCUGGCUCUGUAGAGUUUGGUCAUAUUGUGGAGCCUCCUCUUAUCCAAAUUGCAACUUCUAUUCUUCCUCUUGGUUGGACUGGAAUUCCUGGUGAUAAACAUACACAGCCAAUGAAAGUAAAUAUUGUGGGACACGGGCUUCACCUUUGCACACUUGUACAAGCUCAAGUAAAUGGAAGCUGGUAUUCAACAACAGUGGAAACCUUACCUUCAGUGCCACCAUACUCGACAAAUGAUGGAAUUCAUCCACAGACACAUGAAAUGCGGAUCUUAAUUGGUCGUCCUCUAAAACAUCCACCAAAAUUUCCAGUUGUAAAUCAUUCUGUGUGUUUCAACUCAAUUGCAGAUCAUACCAGCUCAGAUUCAGACUAUGAAAUUGGCUCUCUGUUUGAAGACAGAAAUAUAUGUAGUGAUGGCUUGAACAACUUUGUUUUAUACUGUACUAGCGACUUCUUUACAGUCUCCAAAGAGGUACAUGUCAGAACACGAAGAGUGAGAUUACUUGGGUUAGAGGGGGCUGGAAAGACUAGUUUAUUUAGAGCAUUGCUGGAUCUGAGUAGACAGAGGAACAGAGCAAAUCUUGAUAUUGUUUACUCAGAUAUGGAUGCUCAUAAAGUCGUAGAAGGUGGAGUAUGCUACUUGGAUUCUGUUGGAGUAAACCUGCAGGCACUGCAAAAGGAAGUUUCUAGUUUUAGAAAAGAAUUGGAAGGUGUUUGUGACCUCAGUAGAAAAACAGAUCUGGUUGUCCUUGUGCAUAAUUUAUCAAGUACACUACCAAGAUGGCAUGAUACAGAAGCUUCACUUCCAGCCUUGUCGCUUCUUUUGAACGAGGUUAAGGUUUGUGGUAUCCCUUGGGUUCUAGCCCUCACUAACAAAUUCUCUGUCAGUGCCCAUCAGCAGAAUACGCUAAUCAAUUCAGCAAUUGAGGCAUAUCAAGCACCUCGUGACAUGACUGUAGUUGUGAAUUCCUGUCCUUUCAUAACACCAACUUAUAGUGGGCUGCAGUCUCUGCGUUCUAUAGAUGAUGACUUGAAUAUGGAGUCUAACCGAAAGGUCAAAUGGAUUCCUGUUAAGCUUGCUCGGAUAUCAUUCCAAAAGAGAAGUGCAGUAAUGCCUGUUGAAGGUAUAUCUGAAUUUCGCCAACUCAUACACCAUGUUCUUGCGAGCAAUGAAGAGAUGGCAUUCCAGGAACUUACAAAGGAGAGGUUGUCAUUGGAGUUGGCAAGGGAGCAAAAGGCUAUCCAUGCAAAGAAAGGCUUUCAGGGAAAGGAAACCGGUGCCACAGCUGCUGCAAUUGGUGCAUCAGUUGGAGCUGGUCUUGGUCUUGUAAUGGCUGUGGUUAUGGGGGCAGCAUCUGCCUUGAGAAAACCUUAAAUAGUGAUUUUAAGUUGUACAUUUAGUUCACAUUUCAGCUUGUUAGAAAGUAUUCAUCGGAACAUGGUGAUGAUGUCUGGGACUAUUGGGAACUAGAAUUGUAUGGAAAACACACAUGAUUUAGUUGACUUUAAGAAUGUUGCAGGAUCGUCAUCCUCAGAGAGGAGCAUAUUAGCACGAGGAGACUUCAAUUCCUUCUCUCAGGCUCCCUAUGAAUCUUGUUGGGCCUAUUUGGUCGUUCUGUUUCCGAAUAAUGGGAGCUGUCACAACUCUGUGUUCGUUUUUCCAAUCUCUCGACAGAGGCUUCUGUUUGUGGUUCCUCUUGAAUUUUUUUUUUUUCAGACUCUAUGGUUCUCCUAACCAUCUCAUUUAUGAAUUCCUUCUCAAGGCAUACCAUAUGGAAAGAAAUAAACACUUUGCUCUUUUGCGAGUGAUAAAAGUAGUGCUUGGAUUUUCA